rnacentral:rRNA from 1 species
CCUACGGGAUGCAGCAGUGAGGAAUAUUGGUCAAUGGACGAGAGUCUGAACCAGCCAAGUAGCGUGAAGGAUGACUGCCCUAUGGGUUGUAAACUUCUUUUAUAUGGGAAUAAAAUGUUCCACUUGUGGGAUUUUGUAUGUACCAUAUGAAUAAUGAUCGGCUAACUCCGUGCCAGCAGCCGCGGUAAUACGGAGGAUCCGAGCGUUAUCCGGAUUUAUUGGGUUUAAAGGGAGCGUAGGUGGAUUGUUAAGUCAGUUGUGAAAUUUUGCGGCUCAACCGUAAAAUUGCAGUUGACACUGGCAGUCUUGAGUACAGUAGAGGUGGGCGGAAUUCGUGGUGUAGCGGUGAAAUGCUUAGAUAUCACGAAGAACUCCGAUUGCGAAGGCAGCUCACUGGACUGCAACUGACACUGAGGCUCGAAAGUGUGGGUAUCAAACAGGAUUAGAUACCCGGGUAGUC